GAAGACCCAGCUAUCUGCCAAAGCCAUCAGCCUGCAAGCGCUCACAGGAACUCGUGUGCUCUCCCUGCUGAUCUUGCUGGUUUUGUCAGGAAAAGCAGUCUUGGCUGCAGAGGAUGUCUGGUGCUCACAGGAGGGACAAAGCAGAUCCAAAACUGUAGUAAGCCCUGAUGAAAAACAGUGAGUGCAGGCUGGAAGAGGUGACUGAUGAUGCCAGCACAUCACUGUUGGUGCCCAGCUGAUGGCCACGGUUCGUGCACAGCAUCGUGGCCGCCCAGAGAGCACUGGAUCCAGUCUGGUCACCCAAAUACCGCCUGCCUGCAGCUUCUGAGCAGGGCUCAAACAAAAGAAAACCCAUCCAAACUGUGGGUUUAUGUUUGUUUUCCACGCUCCACCAUUGAAAUUCCAUGUCAAAGAUUUGCAAGUCCCUGGAGGGGAGCAGGAACUGCAGCCGAGAGCCCGGUGUUUUGCCAUCUCUGCUGUGUGCUGGAGUGAGCCGGGGCAGCUGCCGGAGGACGCUGGAGGCAUUGUGCUGCCGGACAGGUUUGAAGGCUGGUGUUAAUGAACUGGUGUUAAUGGGCUGGUGUUAAUGGGCACCCUGAUGGUGAGAAGUCAGCACUGGAGCCGCCGUGCAGGGGCUGGAGCUGGGGGCUCUUCCACGUGGCUGUCACCGGAGAGUGAAGAGUCAAGCUGCAGUAACUCCACGCUGCUGACAAGAUCCUGAACCGCAUCGCUUUAAUUACGCCAGCGCAAAUUUCAUUCAUUUGGUUAAGCCUGGGAGCUACAGAAAGAGCUAUUUCCAGGCGUGCUGGUUUAAUUAUUGCAUGCCCAGGAUUACCCACCGUGCACAGCUGCAUAGACGGGGCUUGCCGGGCUCUCCGGCAGACCCGGACAAGUUCGCAGCCAUCGGCACGGCAAUGGUCCCACUCACGCUUCUGCACAUCCCAGCACUCGGGCUUGGGUCAGAUAAAUGGGUUUUAACCUGAUUUGUGCUGUAAUCUCCAUGUCGACAGGCUCUCAUCACGCACAGGAUAAAACCCCGGCUCCGGUGGCCGGGGGUUUCACUGGGCAUCUCCUGCCAGCAAGGCUGGCCGAUGGCUCCAAGCCAAGUGGCUUCCCUGUUCUGGCAUCCCAGGGACACCUCUGAACCGUGGGUGUUUGCAAAACGGCUUUUGUUUGCUUAACUCCUUGCACUGGAGCACGCAGAGGCACGGCUCCCACUGUCCUGUCCCUCCUCCGCAGGCAGGAACAGGGUGACAAUCCUGCUGCCCAGGGCAGGCAGUUCAGUGCCAGCCCUGCCAUCCCACCCCUGGAAAAAAUAGCACCUUCUGGAUGCAUUAUUUGUACUUUCCUUUUCUGAACAUGCCUUAAAAAGAAGGGCUUGGUUUUCAAAGGAGCAGCAUUUAAAUUACAUUCUUUCCUGCUCGUCCAGCUCUUUGCUGUAAUCUUACUGCUGUACAGAGCAACGAGCGUGUGUGGGACGUGGUGGGAUUUUAACUGUAAUUCAUGGACAGAUAUCAAAUGCCAGGGUUAUUAUGAAUUUUAUUCAGGAGAGUUUAAAUGUUACUGGUUCAGCAGUGCCUCUUUCCAUGCUUCCUUUGCAGCAGCUUCUGUUUAACCUCUCAGCUCACAAAAUUUAUUGUAUUAUUGGUGGCUCACUGUAAUUCUCCAGGUUUUCAAAUAAUCCCAGGAAAAGAGUUAACCGGAGCCUCUGCCUCAGUCUGCAUCCACUGCAAAGCACAUGGGGCCAGAGUCUGUCUUUCCUGACACCCCUGGUAAAUCCCUUGGGUUCAUCUGGGAAAAUUGCCACUCUGAAUUUCAAAAUUAUGUCAGUGGGAGACGGGUCAGGAGCAGGGCAGGGACCAGGGAGCAGCAAAACCGGGGUCCCAACAUUGCAGUCAGCAUCUGGGCAAGGCUCUCACCCAGCUCACAUGAUGUUGCAGGCUGAGCAGGGCACAGGGUUUUUCUGGUACCAGUAACUAUUCCCCAGGCAGAUACAUCGGGAGUCAUGGUUAAUGGCCUUGGGAUGGAAAGUCUGUGAUGCAGCUUGUAGUUAGGUCUUGAUGGCCAUGAUGUCACUGAUGACCAUUGCAGUGGGAUGCAGAGCACUCCCAGAUGCGGAUUCAGCCUGAUUCUCCUGGGAUUUGCCC